UACAUAGGGCUCAAGCGUUGUUCGGAUUUAUUGGGCGUAAAGGGUGCGUAGGCGGUUCGUUAAGUCGGGUGUGAAAUCUCGGAGCUUAACUCCGAAACUGCAUUCGAUACUGCCGUGCUUGAGGACGGGAGAGGAGACUGGAAUUUACGGUGUAGCGGUGAAAUGCGUAGAUAUCGUAAGGAAGACCAGUGGCGAAGGCGGGUCUCUGGACAGUUCCUGACGCUGAGGCACGAAGGCCAGGGGAGCAAACAGG
rnacentral:rRNA from 1 species